CGCUGGUUCGUGUUCACUCACAGUGUUCAUCGCUUGGGCUCUCGCUGAUGAAGAUCGUUCUUCCUACUUCUUGACACACAGAGUUCGUUCAUUGUUCAUUGAUGUGUAUGAAGGUGCAGCCAAUGAGGGUGGUAGAGGACCGAGUAUUUGGGAUACCUUCACUCACAAAUAUCCAGGUAGAAGACAGAAGCAGUGAGGAUGUUGCAGUUGACUCGUAUCACAACUACAAGGUAUUGUCGAUUCAAAGUUUUUGUUUCUUUUGAUGUAAUUUAUCAACUAUCAUCACUAAUGAAAAGUAGCGCUGAAAGCUUAUCAGAUA